rnacentral:rRNA from 1 species
CGCCUGGGAACUACGAGCAUCAGCUUGAAACCCAAAGGACUUGGCGGUGCUUUAGAUCCACCUAGAGGAGCCUGUUCUAGAACCGAUAACCCCCGUUCAACCUCACCUUUCCUUGUCUCUCCCGCCUAUAUACCGCCGUCGUCAGCUUACCCUGUGAAGGUUAAAUAGUAAGCAAAAUUGGUACAACCUAAAACGUCAGGUCGAGGUGUAGCGUAUGGGAAGGGAAGAAAUGGGCUACAUUUCCUAUUACAGGAAAGUACGAAUGGUGUACUGAAACNNNCGGCCUGAAGGAGGAUUUAGCAGUAAGGCAGGAAA